CAGCAUUUGACAAGGUGCCUCCAACAGUAAGAUGCAGGUAAUCAGUCCAAGAUUUUGGUGCCAGCCCCAGUUUAAGAGUUUCAUGCAGGAUAUUUAUCCACAGCUCUCCAGCUGAAACAUCCACAUAAGGCUUGAGCUUGACCUUGGAUGGAAUGUCCAUGGCCUCUAGCUGCAACGGUCAACUCCGACACGUAUCCCAUUCUGAAAAUAUGGUUUAUCGUGCGCGAUAUAUCGGAGACGGAGCUUGGAUGUAACACAGCUAACGUGUUUGCAGGGCAUACGUUGAUAUAUCAGAGGAACCAAAAUGAGGUGGAAUGAUUGAGGCUGCAUAUAGGUGGUUCCUGCUGUCAGAGUGAAUGGCGGGCUGGCCCCUACUAAGUUUCAUGCUUCUUCAAGCUGAGUGUCUGGGGAGUCAGAUUACUGGGACCCACUCCAGUUUUUCUUCAUAAGAGUAUACAUUAUGUUUUGACAGCCCUCACCAACGUGUUAUACAUUUAUUCUGCAUAAUUUCCAUGAAGUUUUUACAUAUUCAUCAUGAUCUUUGCAUAUAUGAUCAUCAAUUUUUGUCUAAAAUUUACAUUGACAUGUGAAUUCUGGUCAAGACGUCUUACGAACUCCGAUUCCGAUUUUUUGUAACGUUGUAUAAUCAAGAUUCGUACCGAUGCACAUGAACUAGCUCAAUCCGUCACAGUUCUUAAGAAAAGUAAACAGAAUAAGCAUGAUGAUGAAUAUGUUGAAUGCUGACAAACAAACAUUUUCGAAAGCUUCAUACGUUGAUUUUUACUACUGUUCCUAAGUCUCUCGAUUCAAUGUCAUUUCAAAUAGUGAUUCGAUUAGAGUGAAGUUGUUUAAGUUAGAGGUGCAUUUAAUGAUUUAGAUUAUAAUUUUCAAAAGUGCCCUUCAAGGCAGGACCACCAAGUGAAAUUGCGUUCAAAUUCAACUGCAUCUAGACUUUGAUUUUAUGUUUUCUUUGACUCAAUGAGUGACAGAAGUUUGUUUUUGGGUGCAGAAGAACAAGUGUUUGAAAGAGAAAGAUGAAAGGUAUGUCUACAUAUACACUUGAGUUCAUAGCAUCAGCAUCAGCAAGAACAAGGCUUUUGGUCAGUCCAAUAUACAAAAAGAAAGCUAAAUUUAUUUCCAUGUGAUAAUUCAUUAUCUUUUUUUUGUGGAUUUAAAAGGUAUAUGGCUUCAUUGUCAAACUUGUAAUGGAGGUUAUGAGAGAGAGAGGGAUUGUUUAGGGGUGGGGCCAUGGACAUGUGAUCUUCAUAAGGGCGUGUAGUGGCCCAAGAAAAGGAAGAUAAAGAAAGAUUUGAAAAGA